CAUCAGCAUCAGUAUGCUUUUAAUAAACAUAUAUAAAAGUAACUUUUUCUUGAAAACUUAAAGUGUUCACAUAAUUCAUUCACAGAAAAUUUGUUUUCAAACGUUAAAUACUUUUUCUUAAACAGACGGCAAAAGUUUUAUCAAUAUUUUUAUUACUAGAAAGAAAGGGGAAAAACUCAUAUUACACAAGAAAAAACACCACUGAAAAAAACUUCUGAUCAAAAUAGGGAAAAAAGGUCAAAUUCUUUAUGGAAACAAAAGCGAAGUAAAUAGUAUCAUUUGGGUGUACAGUGUUGCCUUUUUGAAUUCCUAACAAGAAAGAUGUUUUGUAACCUAGAAAGAGAGAGAAAAAUAAAUACACUACACCAUCAAGAAGGAAAAAAUGGUUUUGUCACAUGGAAAAGACUAAACUAGAGUUCGAUGAAACAUAAGGGAUGACGAUUACCUGAUUUAGUUUAAAGGCAGCAAGAUUUUAAGCUGUCUCCAAACUAGCAAAUAUAUCAUGUAUCAGGAGUGAUGUUAAAGCGGACCGGAGGCAUGCAUGUACGAAGUCUCAUCUACCUUCAACUACUUGUGUAUCCUCACAUGCAUCUUUCUUGCCACGCCAUCAACCCACAAAGAGAGGAUGAACAAAGCAGAGAUCAUGUCCAACAAUCCAGUGUCAGAGAAGUUCCCGAGAUUCGAUGAAAUUGAGAAACGUGGCAAAACUAUUGUUGGGACAUGAUGUCUUCUAUCUCUGCCGGUCCCGAUGAUGCUGGUGCGGCAGCAGGGCGUCGGCGGCGUGGGCUUCUACCGCCGGCCGCGCCUGCUGCUGUCCCAUCGAUCCGACGACAAGGCCUCGAGCAGCACCAAACGCAUCGACCGCGUGGGCGUGCUAUGCUCAGGUUCGCGCGCCCUGCUAAUGGUAUGGUGCCGCCCUUUUAUUUGUGCAACCGAG
rnacentral:lncRNA from 1 species